UACGUAGGUGGCAAGCGUUGUUCGGAAUUAUUGGGCGUAAAGGGCGCGUAGGCGGCAUGUUAAGUCGGCUGUGAAAGCCUGGGGCUCAACCCCAGAGGGUCGGCCGAUACUGGCAAGCUAGAGUACGGAAGAGGUAGCUGGAAUUCCCGGUGUAGCGGUGAAAUGCGCAGAUAUCAGGAAGAACACCAAUGGCGAAAGCAGCUCUCUGGGACGGUACUGACGCUGAGACGCGAAAGCGUGGGGAGCGAACAGG
rnacentral:rRNA from 1 species